UUUUAUGCCCCCAAUCAAGAAACUUUCAUGUGUGCUAAACAAGGGCUGUGCUCAAGUUCUGCUGUUGGAGGGAACUAUUGUUUGCAAAACAGCGUAGAUAUAUUUCCUUCAAAUUUUAGUGAAAAAGCCUAAUGUAUUCUGUCAGGCUUGUCUAGGAGGAGUGCCUUUCAAUGGUUUGGUGAAGUCUGGUAACUGAGGGUAACAUCUAGAGAAAUAGACUGUAAUCCACAAAAGUUUAUGCUACAAUAGUUUGUUCAACUUUACGGUGCCAGAAGAUACUCUUUUAUUUUUACUGUAACAAAGAAAAAAGGAAAGAUCAUGCCGCCAAGUCGGUGUCAACUGCUGGCGA